UAUAUUGUUUUUGUCUUAUUUAGACUGUUGUUCUGUUCAACUGGGCCAUUUGGUCUCCACCUCAAGUUGGAAAUAGUGAUCUGCCAAACUGGUCUCAUGCCAUUGGUUGGAUGAUAUACGUUUCAGCAGUAGUCUCCAUUCCUGGAAUUGCUAUUUACGACUUUGUAAAAGGGUCAGGAUCUGCCCUUGAGCGAUUAAAGGUAAUGAUUAGCCCAACUAAGGCGUGGGGUCCUGCACUGUUAAAUCAUCGCCAAGAAGCAGCUGCGGUCCACGAACGUUAUCAAACCACUAUGGGAGGGGACGUUGACUUUGAUCCGCAAACCAUGGACACUUCAAGUUAUGAUAUGAAAGUCAAAUACAGCAAUGAAGACGGAGUGCAGGUUUGAAUAGAAACUAUCUGGAAAUAAAAAUAAUGCAAUAAAACAAAUAAGAAAAAUUGAAAAACAUAAAAAUGAUUAGUGAAAAUUUCAAAAAUAGGAAGGUUUUAAGUUUAGUAAAAAAUAAGGACAAGUGAUAUUACGAUAGUCAGCAGGGACCGAAUUCCAAAGUGUAGGAGCUGAGAAAAAGAAAGACCUUAUGAGAACUUAUAUUUGGGGUGGGAAUAUUGGGGGUUUAGGGGAUGUAGUGGAGUGGCAUACAUCUGUCUGCACAGUGUUCGCAGUUAUGCUGUGAAAGUCUGCCUUUGAUCCUAUCAAACUACCCCAUUUGUAGUGUGAUGUGCAUCGACCAAAGACCGCAUUAUCGGCUGGUAACCACCAGAUGCUUUACUAGAGGUCGUUCCCUAGGUUCAGUAUAUGGAGCAAAGCUAAACAAUGCUGCCACGUCAUUGUCAACAAAUCGCACAACUAAAAUGAUUGCACCUAUCUUUAGAUAUGUGGCAUUUAAUGCAAAAGUGUAAUGUGUAUCAUCACAAUAUUAUUUAGUAUAAGCAUUAAGUAUAAUGUGGACUAAAUUAUUGUGUAUUUAAUGCUUUUAACAUUAUUAUAUAUAUAAUAUAGAUUAUUAUAAUUAUAUUAUAAUAUUGGCUUUAUAUACUAUAAUUGUGGAAGCAUGUGGCAGAGUUUAUAAAGCAGCGGGCCUUUGAUCAAAAGGUCCGGGGUGCAAUCUUAAGUUGGCCACAUGUUUGUGUCCAUAGGCAAGGCACUUUAUCCACGUUGUCUUUCUCCACCUAUGAGUAAAAGUAGAUGAGUUACCUAGUAGAUUUUAAUGCCAAUGUGUGGAUUACUGCCUGCAAAAUUAUGGAAUAUUUUCUCAAAAAAAUAAUAAUAAUGUGAAGUGCGAAGAGGCAUUGACAUUUUAGGAAUUAUAAAACCAACAUUAUUAUUAUUAAUAUUAUUAUUAUUAUUAUUAUUAUUAUUGUUAUUAUUAUUACUAUUAUUAUUAUACUUAUUAUUGUUAUUGUUAUUAUUUAUAUUAUUACUGUAUUAUUAUUAUUAUUAAUAUUGGUUGUUUUCAUAAUUUUUUACACAGCAUUAUUUAUGGCAUAUUCCAUGUAUAUACGAUUAUCGGCAGAGCCGAUGAUUUCAAUUGUAUAGAUAUUUAAUUCUUAAUAGUUAAUUCAUUGUUUUUUGUUUCAAAUCUUGGUAUAACAAAAUGUAUAUUUUCUUUACCCAAUCUGCUGAAAUACUUUCUUAAAAGUGAAUUGUUUGAAAAUAUUUUUUAACUUGUUUUCUAUAGCAACUUUCCAUAUUUAAUUGUUAGAUUUAGCUUUUCUUUUCAUUUUUGCUUUUUAAUAUGAUGGUAUAAAGAGAUCCAAAAAAAAAAUAAACACCAAAAAAAAUGCAAUAAAAUUUCAAAAAUGACCAAAAAAAUAAUAAAAAAAGAAAUCAUAAAAAUAUCUAGAAAAAAAAAUGAGUGAAUUUGUUUAAAGUAUAUUAUGUGUUGUACCAUCCUGUACAAUGCCUCCAAAUGCAAACUCUCCAAAACAUGUGCUUUGACAAUGCAAUCGAAAAUGCAAUUUAUCAUGUAAAUUAUUUAUUGAUGCUGUAAUUGAAUGCUGUUUUUUAUUGGUAAUUGUUGUAUUUGACUCAUUCUUUUUAAAUAUGUUCUUUAAAAGGAGCACGGUAUAUUUUUUAACAAAAUAUUUUAACACGAAUAAUAUAUGUGCUCUAGUUUUGCUUUGGAAGAAACAUUUCCACAAUAUUUAUAAAUAUUUUUGAACCAAUUGAGUGAGGUGUGUUUGAAAGAGCAACUUGUAAUUCUAUAUAAAAAAAAAAGAAGGAAACUUUGCUUGCAAUAAUGCCUUUACAUACUUGCUAUAUUUGUGACUUACUGUACCCAUUAAAAAAUGGAUUGUAAAGAUUGUGUUUAUUUAUUAUACAAGAUUAGUGGUUUAAGCACUUAUGGACUAAGAAUAAACCAAGCUAUGUACAGUAUACAGUAUGUUUAAAUUGUUAAUAGUUUACGCUGACAGUACACUACCACUCUGUAUCUCUACAGUAAGUUUUAAAAUUAAGAAAUUGGUAAUAUAUACAUAAAGGUCUGUCCAUGAUAUAAAUUUGUAUUUAUGUAAUUUUACCAUAUACGGGCAUGAUGAUUCUAUAAUAUCACACCUAUAUGAGCAUGAUGAUGUCAUAUCAAACAGUAACCAGUAAUUUACUGCCACAAGAAAAGGGUGCACAAUUUGUACCGCACAUCCAUCAUAUUUAAAUGUACUUUGCAUACAGUGAUUUGCUGCCACAAGAAAAGGGUGCACUUCUUAAAAUAUGUAUUAAAAGGCAACAAAUUAUAUCACUUGAUUGACCAGUUGCACACCAUGUGAAAUUGUAGAAUAAAUGGAAUACAAAAUAUGUAUAUAUGUAUAUAUCAGUGAAGGAUCGAUGGUAGAUGACGCUUGUAACAUAUUUUUUUUCAAAUGUAUUACUUUGUAGUGGUUAUGAUUCCAUUAUUCUGGGUCUUUGUCUUGACAGCAUGCAGUAGGCCUGCCUAAUUUAACUUGUAGGCUUCAGAGCCUCUACUUAGCUACUACUCAACCAUCUCAGUCGAAAAUGUAUUCAAUGUAAUACAAUGUAGAAUUUUGCAUUUGGUAAAUAUAACAAUUCUGUGAAAUAACAAUGAAAUGUAAAUAGGCCUAGAAAAAACCGUGAUAAAAGAUGAAAAUAAGAGAAUAAAUAAAAGGCAGUCGAAU